rnacentral:rRNA from 1 species
AGGCCUACGGGAGGCAGCAGUGGGGGAUAUUGCACAAUGGGGGGAACCCUGAUGCAGCGACGCCGCGUGGGCGAUGGAGUACUUCGGUACGUAAAGCCCUAUCAGCAGGGAAGAAAAUGACGGUACCUGACUAAGAAGCCCCGGCUAAAUACGUGCCAGCAGCCGCGGUAAUACGUAUGGGGCAAGCGUUAUCCGGAAUGAUUAGGCGUAAAGGGUGCGUAGGCGGCCUGCUAAGUCUGGAGUGAAAGGUACCGGCUCAACCGGUACAGGCUCUGGAAACUGGCGGGCUAGAGAGCAGGAGAGGG